rnacentral:rRNA from 1 species
GAUGAACGCUGGCGGCGUGCCUAACACAUGCAAGUCGAGCGAUUCUCUUCGGAGAAGAGCGGCGGACGGGUGAGUAACGCGUGGGUAACCUGCCCUGUACACACGGAUAACAUACCGAAAGGUAUGCUAAUACGGGAUAACAUAAGAAAUUCGCAUGUUUUUCUUAUCAAAGCUCCGGCGGUACAGGAUGGACCCGCGUCUGAUUAGCUAGUUGGUGAGGUAACGGCUCACCAAGGCGACGAUCAGUAGCCGACCUGAGAGGGUGAUCGGCCACAUUGGAACUGAGACACGGUACAAACUCCUACGGGAGGCAGCAGUGGGGAAUAUUGCACAAUGGGCGAAAGCCUGAUGCAGCAACGCCGCGUGAGCGAUGAAGGCCUUCGGGUCGUAAAGCUCCGUCCUCAAGGAAGAUAAUGACGGUACUUGAGGAGGAAGCCCCGGCUAACUACGUGCCAGCCGCCGCCGUAA